rfam:Triticum aestivum genome assembly, contig: Triticum_aestivum_CS42_TGACv1_scaffold_146746_2BS
CUUAUACUUCCUCCGUCCUAAAAUUCUUGUCUUAGAUUUGUCACGUUUUAGUAUUAGGUACAUUCGUAUCUAGACAAAUCUAAGACAAGAAUUUUGGGGCGGAGGGAGUACAAG